UACAGAGGGGGCAAGCGUUGUUCGGAAUUACUGGGCGUAAGGGGCGCGUAGGCGGCCCGCUAAGUCGAACGUGAAAUCCCCGGGCUUAACCCGGGAACUGCGUCCGAUACUGGCAGGCUUGAAUCCGGGAGAGGGAUGUGGAAUUCCAGGUGUAGCGGUGAAAUGCGUAGAUAUCUGGAGGAACACUGGUGGCGAAGGCGGCAUCCUGGACCGGUAUUGACGCUGAGGCGCGAAAGCUAGGGGAGCAAACGGG
rnacentral:rRNA from 1 species